rnacentral:rRNA from 1 species
AUACGUAGGGUGCGAGCGUUGUCCGGAAUUACUGGGCGUAAAGAGCUCGUAGGUGGUUUGUCGCGUCGUCUGUGAAAUCCCGGGGCUUAACUCCGGGCGUGCAGGCGAUACGGGCAUAACUUGAGUACUGUAGGGGAGACUGGAAUUCCUGGUGUAGCGGUGAAAUGCGCAGAUAUCAGGAGGAACACCGGUGGCGAAGGCGGGGCUCUGGGCAGUAACUGACGCUGAGGAGCGAAAGCAUGGGUAGCGAACAGGAUUAGAUACCCUGGUAGUCCAUGCCGUAAACGGUGGGCGCUAGGUGUAGGGGUCUUCCACGACUUCUGUGCCGUAGCUAACGCAUUAAGCGCCCCGCCUGGGGAGUUCGGCCGCAAGGCUAAAACUCAAAGGAAUUGACGGGG